GCCUGCGUGGCUCAGUUGGUUAAGCGUCUGACUUCAGCUCAGGUCAUGAUCUCACGGUUCAUGGGUUCAAGCCCCGUGUCAGGCU
rnacentral:tRNA from 1 species